UGUGAGCUCGAUGAGUAGGGCGGGACACGUGGUAUCCUGUCUGAAUAUGGGGGGACCAUCCUCCAAGGCUAAAUACUCCUGACUGACCGAUAGUGAACCAGUACCGUGAGGGAAAGGCGAAAAGAACCCCGGCGAGGGGAGUGAAAAAGAACCUGAAACCGUGUACGUACAAGCAGUGGGAGCACGCUUAGGCGUGUGACUGCGUACCUUUUGUAUAAUGGGUCAGCGACUUAUAUUCUGUAGCAAGGUUAACCGAAUAGGGGAGCCGAAGGGAAACCGAGUCUUAACUGGGCGUUAAGUUGCAGGGUAUAGACCCGAAACCCGGUGAUCUAGCCAUGGGCAGGUUGAAGGUUGGGUAACACUAACUGGAGGACCGAACCGACUAAUGUUGAAAAAUUAGCGGAUGACUUGUGGCUGGGGGUGAAAGGCCAAUCAAACCGGGAGAUAGCUGGUUCUCCCCGAAAGCUAUUUAGGUAGCGCCUCGUGAAUUCAUCUCCGGGGGUAGAGCACUGUUUCGGCAAGGGGGUCAUCCCGACUUACCAACCCGAUGCAAACUGCGAAUACCGGAGAAUGUUAUCACGGGAGACACACGGCGGGUGCUAACGUCCGUCGUGAAGAGGGAAACAACCCAGACCGCCAGCUAAGGUCCCAAAGUCAUGGUUAAGUGGGAAACGAUGUGGGAAGGCCCAGACAGCCAGGAUGUUGGCUUAGAAGCAGCCAUCAUUUAAAGAAAGCGUAAUAGCUCACUGGUCGAGUCGGCCUGCGCGGAAGAUGUAACGGGGCUAAACCAUGCACCGAAGCUGCGGCAGCGACGCUUAUGCGUUGUUGGGUAGGGGAGCGUUCUGUAAGCCUGCGAAGGUGUGCUGUGAGGCAUGCUGGAGGUAUCAGAAGUGCGAAUGCUGACAUAAGUAACGAUAAAGCGGGUGAAAAGCCCGCUCGCCGGAAGACCAAGGGUUCCUGUCCAACGUUAAUCGGGGCAGGGUGAGUCGACCCCUAAGGCGAGGCCGAAAGGCGUAGUCGAUGGGAAACAGGUUAAUAUUCCUGUACUUGGUGUUACUGCGAAGGGGGGACGGAGAAGGCUAUGUUGGCCGGGCGACGGUUGUCCCGGUUUAAGCGUGUAGGCUGGUUUUCCAGGCAAAUCCGGAAAACCAAGGCUGAGGCGUGAUGACGAGGCACUACGGUGCUGAAGCAACAAAUGCCCUGCUUCCAGGAAAAGCCUCUAAGCAUCAGGUAACAUCAAAUCGUACCCCAAACCGACACAGGUGGUCAGGUAGAGAAUACCAAGGCGCUUGAGAGAACUCGGGUGAAGGAACUAGGCAAAAUGGUGCCGUAACUUCGGGAGAAGGCACGCUGAUAUGUAGGUGAAGUCCCUCGCGGAUGGAGCUGAAAUCAGUCGAAGAUACCAGCUGGCUGCAACUGUUUAUUAAAAACACAGCACUGUGCAAACACGAAAGUGGACGUAUACGGUGUGACGCCUGCCCGGUGCCGGAAGGUUAAUUGAUGGGGUCAGCGCAAGCGAAGCUCUUGAUCGAAGCCCCGGUAAACGGCGGCCGUAACUAUAACGGUCCUAAGGUAGCGAAAUUCCUUGUCGGGUAAGUUCCGACCUGCACGAAUGGCGUAAUGAUGGCCAGGCUGUCUCCACCCGAGACUCAGUGAAAUUGAACUCGCUGUGAAGAUGCAGUGUACCCGCGGCAAGACGGAAAGACCCCGUGAACCUUUACUAUAGCUUGACACUGAACAUUGAGCCUUGAUGUGUAGGAUAGGUGGGAGGCUUUGAAGUGUGGACGCCAGUCUGCAUGGAGCCGACCUUGAAAUACCACCCUUUAAUGUUUGAUGUUCUAACGUUGACCCGUAAUCCGGGUUGCGGACAGUGUCUGGUGGGUAGUUUGACUGGGGCGGUCUCCUCCUAAAGAGUAACGGAGGAGCACGAAGGUUGGCUAAUCCUGGUCGGACAUCAGGAGGUUAGUGCAAUGGCAUAAGCCAGCUUGACUGCGAGCGUGACGGCGCGAGCAGGUGCGAAAGCAGGUCAUAGUGAUCCGGUGGUUCUGAGUGGAAGGGCCAUCGCUCAACGGAUAAAAGGUACUCCGGGGAUAACAGGCUGAUACCGCCCAAGAGUUCAUAUCGACGGCGGUGUUUGGCACCUCGAUGUCGGCUCAUCACAUCCUGGGGCUGAAGUAGGUCCCAAGGGUAUGGCUGUUCGCCAUUUAAAGUGGUACGCGAGCUGGGUUUAGAACGUCGUGAGACAGUUCGGUCCCUAUCUGCCGUGGGCGCUGGAGAAUUGAGGGGGGCUGCUCCUAGUACGAGAGGACCGGAGUGGACGCAUCACUGGUGUUCGGGUUGUCAUGCCAAUGGCACUGCCCGGUAGCUAAAUGCGGAAGAGAUAAGUGCUGAAAGCAUCUAAGCACGAAACUUGCCCCGAGAUGAGUUCUCCCUGACUCCUUGAGAGUCCUGAAGGAACGUUGAAGACGACGACGUUGAUAGGCCGGGUGUGUAAGCGCAGCGAUGCGUUGAGCUAACCGGUACUAAUGAACCGUGAGGCUUAACCUU
rnacentral:rRNA from 1 species